rnacentral:rRNA from 1 species
GAUGAACGCUAGCUACAGGCUUAACACAUGCAAGUCGAGGGGCAGCACGGAGAUAGCUUGCUAUCUUGGGUGGCGACCGGCGCACGGGUGAGUAACGCGUAUCCAACCUGCCCAUUACUCAGGGAUAGCCUUGCGAAAGUAAGAUUAAUACCUGAUGUUGUUAAAAACCCGCAUGAGUUUUUAACCAAAGAUUUAUUGGUAAUGGAUGGGGAUGCGUGACAUUAGGUAGUAGGUGAGGUAACGGCUCACCUAGCCGACGAUGUCUAGGGGGUUCUGAGAGGAACCGGUCCCCCACACGUAGGAACU